rnacentral:rRNA from 1 species
CAGCAGCCGCGGGAAUACAGAGGAUGCAAGCGUUAUCCGGAAUGAUUGGGCGUAAAGCGUCUGUAGGUGGCUUUUCAAGUCCGCCGUCAAAUCCCAGGGCUCAACCCUGGACAGGCGGUGGAAACUACCAAGCUGGAGUACGGUAGGGGCAGAGGGAGUUUCCGGUGGAGCGGUGAAAUGCGUUGAGAUCGGGAAGAACACCAACGGCGAAAGCACUCUGCUGGGCCGACACUGACACUGAGAGACGAAAGCUAGGGGAGCAAAUGGGAUUAGAUACCCCCGUAGUCCCUGUCUCUUAUAC